AUGGCAACCGCGUGCAACGCUUUUGCCACCCUCAAAUCCUUCAGCCCCACACAUGCGCCUGACAACGCCGUGAUGGUCCACCCAUCCGGCCGCAAUCUUCCCUCCACCAUAACCUUGAAUACUCCGAAAGCAUCGCCAACACAGCACGAGUUCGCAUAUGAACCGAUCAGAGUGUUGAAUGAUACGGUGUCCCUCGCUGGCAUUUCAUCGAACAGCCUGCGUGCCAGAGAGGGUAAACCGAAGGACGCAUAG
rnacentral:rRNA from 1 species